CCUCCUUCCCGCAGCGGGGAGUCCCUGCUGGGGGGGUCUCCUUCGCGUGUGCGGUGCUGGUCCGCGCUGCGCUCUGAGUGACCCUCUCAAGCAUCACUGAAGUGAGUCACGGUUGAGCUCGUCCUGCCGGAACUGGACUCGCUGAAGGGCAAAACUCAAGAUCAACCCAGGCAUAAAUUUCUCAUAUCACGAGCAGGGGUGCCCAGGGGUUGUCAUUUCUUAUCGUGCUUUUACGUGGUCCCACAUAUCUGCUCCACUUCUCUGUCUUUUCUCUUGCUUUUCCUACUGUUCACUUGUUUCCUUCCUGACACUGUUGUUGGUAGGAAGUUGCGAUUUGGGUUUGUGUUGUUUAUUCUUUUUUUGUUCUCCUUCAUUCACAAUGAAUGCCAAGGGACAUUUAAAAAAAAAUCCAGUUCCUAGUUUGCGAGGAGCUUGAAGAACAGCAGGAAGAUGGUUGUGUGGAAGGGAAGUGACGGAGGGACUGAGCAGAACGGUUCAAGAAGGAGCAGAUGGAAACAGCUGCCAACAGAUGAGUACUGGAACAGAUUCAAGCCACACUACUUGCUGGAACUUGAGAGUUUGUGAUGGCCUGAGCUUACCCAGUGACAGGUUCUGCAUCCUGCAGAAUAUUGGACUGGAACCUGUGUGGCAUAAACCGAAGAUUUCAGACUAUUUGUUUGUAGCCCAUGCUGGAGUGUUUCUGUAGACCAAGGCAGGCUGGACUUUGGUUCUUAAACUGGGCUCCUGAAGAUGUAUAUGAGCAUUCAGGGCUGAUCCUACAAGACAAAGUUUGUAAAUGUUGGAUCAGUCUUACAUUUGCUCCUAGGUCUGUCAGAACUAAACACAAGCUCUGAACCAAAUAUUGCUACCUGCAAAAUAUUUAGUCAUAGACUGGGAUAUAUUUCUUUCAGUAACAUACUGUCCUCUUGAUGCACAGGGGAGUAGAGAAGCUCCAGGCAUUUGUUUUAAAUAUAUUACCUCAGAAAGAAACAGGGAGAAAUAAUACAGGGAACAAUUUUCCUUACUUAAGUCCCCAAAUAAAUAUAUUUUUAACCCAAAAAUGUAUUUAUUAGUACUGAUAGCCUUUGGCCCUACUCCAGUGGACUUUUCUCAAUGACAUCAGUGGAAGAAAGGUGGGCUCUGCAUAGGAAAUCUAUGAAUAUUUUUUCUUCAUCAUCCAUCCAUCCAUCUAUUUUGGGAUGUGCUAAAUGCCUGUUCUCUGUUGUAACAUUAACAUCAGUAUGUGGAAACUUGGGUGCUAAAAUAAAUCAGUGAAAUGCAAUAUACAUGACUUCACAUGGAACUACGUGUACAUUGUUGAGCACAAGCGCCCUGUGCCCGCUCUGCUGUGCCAGCUUGACAGCCAGGUACACCCUGUUGUGUCCCACAUAGGUGGGGUGCUGUGGCAAGGCAGGCAUAAACUGUGUGCUGCCAGUAUAUACAGAGCCUCUGUAGUUUUUCGGUUGCCAUUUAAUGACAGGAAGAUUGAUACUUUUACCAACCUCAAAUUAUAUGGGGAUGACAAGAUCUUUAAUAUUUCACAAAAGCAUUUUUUGUAUUGUGGGCCUGAUCAAGUGUUUGCUGAAGGCAAUGAAAGUGUUGUUAGUGAUAUGUGAGGCCCUGAUUUGUGAGGUAACUGUCUCUCUUUAGUGUUUGUAACUUAGUGAUACUUAGGCAUCCAACUAACCUGGGCCAUUUUUCUGACCUUAGUAGACACCCUCCUGUAUCAUGCUAGUAUGAAUUAGCACAUUCUCAAAUUCAUUUGAUUUUUAUUUUUACUGGAAAAAUGAAAGGGAUAAGCUCAAUCUUUGUGGCCUGGAGUGUUUUCUGCCCAUAGUGAUAUCAAUAGGAGACCUUUACGAGGUUGGACUUUGAAGAUACUGAGGGGGCAGUCCUGCCUUGGAGUCCCCUCCGAUCCGUGGGAGUCUGGUCUGCUCCACAGAAUGGUCCUGAGCCUCAGCACUGAUUUAUCAUCAACCAUGACCACAAGCACCUGGAUGUGGAGGGAAAUCCCCAUGGCUGCUACCUUUUCUGUGCCUCUGGGACAGGGAAAAUCAGCAAACUUGAAGCACGACUGCCUCAGGAAGAAAGAGAAGCAACUGCGCUGCUCUGCUCAACACAAGGCAGCUUGCCCCCCUCCACAGAACACUGAUCUUCAAGGCCAUACAUGAUUAAAGGAGUCGGAGAUAUUCCCUGGAAUUAGCUGUUCCCUCUUUACUUUUCCUGCUUGAAAGGUAAGAAUUGUACGAAUUCCCUUUUUAAUAGUGACUUAACAGAGAUACAAUGAUAAUCUGUCAUCAGAGUAUUUAGAUGACGAUAUCUAGAUUGGUUUUCAGUGUGUUUUUCGUUUUUAUUCUACUGUUAUGUUUAUACAAAAGCCAUAAAUCAUAGGUUGUUUCACACUGGUUGUAGCUGCUGGAUAUUCUUAUCCAGAUGCACAGAAGUGCCCUGAUGGUUACUUUCCAAUGACAACCUGCUCAGGGUUUAACAUUUUUCAGUUGCAUGGAAAGCUUUCAAGGUUACACAUAUAUACUGAAUGAAACACAGCCCACUGGUUAUUUUUAG